AUCUUAAUAUUUCAGCCUUCCUUGGGUGCGGUUUUGUAGAUUUGAAGUUACAGUGCAUAACCAAGUACACAAUCAAUAUGAGGAUGGUGAGGCAGUGGAACAGGUUGAUGCAGUUGAUGCCCCAUUCAAGGUGUAACAGCAUUUGUUAUAUGUGGAAAUGCAGAGAUUUCUUCACAUGCACAUUUCAGUACAACGUUACUGGAGAGAAAACAUGGUUAAUGGAAUGUUGAAAGAAGGUGAGGAGGAAGCAGCAAAUUAAUUCCCUUAAUUCAUUACCCACUGUACAUUUCUUUGUCUUGAAGCACUCUUUUCUGUGUAUCUUCUAAGUGCAGAGACAAGGCAGCUUAAUGAGACAUUUCAUAUGUUUCUUCUUAAUAUCUUUGUAUAUUUAUCAGUUUGUUUUUGCUUAAACUUGAAUGGGCUGUUCUGCAGGAAA
rnacentral:lncRNA from 1 species